GACGAACGCUGGCGGCGCGCUUAACACAUGCAAGUCGAACGGAAAGGCCUGCUUUCCCUUGUGGAUUGCGGGUACUCGAGUGGCGAACGGGUGAGUAACACGUGAGUGAUCUGCCCCCAACUUGGGUAUAAGCCUGGGAAACUGGGUCUAAUUCCCGAUAGGACUGCAGGGUGGUGCCUGUGGUGGAAAACGAUUUUCUAGUGGUUGGGGAUGAGCUCGCGGCCUAUCAGCUUGUUGGUGGGGUAAUGGCCUACCAAGGCGGCGACGGGUAGCCGGCCUGAGAGGGUGGACGGCCACAUUGGGACUGAGAUACGGCCCAGACUCCUACGGGAGGCAGCAGUGGGGAAUAUUGCACAAUGGGCGGAAGCCUGAUGCAGCGACGCCGCGUGGGGGAUGACGGCCUUCGGGUUGUAAACUCCUUUCGACCGAGAAGAAGCCACCUGGUUGGAAGGGUGGUGACGGUAGUGGUAGAAGAAGCACCGGCUAACUACGUG
rnacentral:rRNA from 1 species